CCUACGGGAGGCUGCAGUGGGGAAUAUUGGACAAUGGGGGAAACCCUGAUCCAGCGACGCCGCGUGAGUGAAGAAGUAUUUCGGUACGUAAAGCUCUAUCAGCAGGAAAGAAAAUGACGGUACCUGACUAAGAAGCCCCGGCUAACUACGUGCCAGCAGCCGCGGUAAUACGUAGGGGGCAAGCGUUAUCCGGAUUUACUGGGUGGAAAGGGAGCGUAGACGGCAGCGCAAGUCUGGAGUGAAAUGCCGGGGCCCAACCCCGGAACUGCUCUGGAAACUGUGAAGCUGGAGUGCAGGAGAGGUAAGCGGAAUUCCUGGUGUAGCGGUGAAAUGCGUAGAUAUCAGGAGGAACACCGGCGGCGAAGGCGGCUUACUGGACUGUAACUGACGUUGAGGCUCGAAGGCGUGGGGAGCAAACAGGAUUAGAUACCCGUGUAGUC
rnacentral:rRNA from 1 species